rnacentral:rRNA from 1 species
CUCGUAGGCGGUCCGUCACGUCGGAUGUGAAAUUCCAGGGCUCAACCCUGGACCUGCAUUCGAUACGGGCGGACUAGAGUUCGGUAGGGGAGACUGGAAUUCCUGGUGUAGCGGUGAAAUGCGCAGAUAUCAGGAGGAACACCGGUGGCGAAGGCGGGUCUCUGGGCCGAUACUGACGCUGAGGAGCGAAAGCGUGGGGAGCGAACA